ACUCCUACGGGAGGCAGCAGUGGGGAAUUUUGCGCAAUGGGCGAAAGCCUGACGCAGCAACGCCGCGUGAGUGAUGAAGGCCUUCGGGUCGUAAAGCUCUGUCAAGAGGGAAGAAGUGUAGUGCGGUUAAUACCCGUGCUAUUUGACGGUACCUCUGAAGGAAGCACCGGCUAACUCCGUGCCAGCAGCCGCGGUAAUACGGGGGGUGCAAGCGUUGUUCGGAUUUAUUGGGCGUAAAGCGCGUGUAGGCGGUUUCUUUAGUCUGAUGUGAAAGCCCCGGGCUCAACCUGGGAAGUGCAUUGGAUACUGGGAGACUUGAAUACGGGAGAGGGUAGUGGAAUUCCUAGUGUAGGAGUGAAAUCCGUAGAUAUUAGGAGGAACACCGGUGGCGAAGGCGGCUGCCUGGACCGAUAUUGACGCUGAGACGCGAAAGCGUGGGUAGCAAACAGGAUUAGAUACCCUGGUAGUCCACGCCGUAAACGAUGAGAACUAGGUGUCGCGGGUA
rnacentral:rRNA from 1 species